rnacentral:rRNA from 1 species
UGCGUAGGCAGAUUGAUAAGUCAGUGGUGAAAACCUUCAGCUUAACUGGAGACUUGCCAUUGAUACUGUUAGUCUUGAGUACGGUCAAGGUAGGCGGAAUGUGUAAUGUAGCGGUGAAAUGCUUAGAUAUUACACAGAACACCGAUUGCGAAGGCAGCUUACUGGGCCAUUACUGACGCUGAGGCACGAAAGCGUGGGGAGCGAACAGGAUUAGAUACCCUGGUAGUCC